UACAGAGGCCUCAAGCGUUGUUCGGAAUUACUGGGCGUAAAGAGCAUGUAGGUGGACAUGCAAGUCAGAUGUGAAAGCCCUGGGCUUAACCCGGGAAGUGCGUCUGAUACUGCAUGUCUGGAGUGCGAUAGAGGAGACUGGAAUUCCUGGUGUAGGGGUGAAAUCCGUAGAUAUCAGGAGGAAUACCGAUGGUGAAGACAGGUCUCUGGCUCGUAACUGACACUGAGAUGCGAAAGCGUGGGUAGCAAACAGG
rnacentral:rRNA from 1 species